GACGAACGCUGGCGGCGUGCUUAACACAUGCAAGUCGAACGGAAAGGCCCUGCUUUUGUGGGGUGCUCGAGUGGCGAACGGGUGAGUAACACGUGAGUAACCUGCCCUUGACUUUGGGAUAACUUCAGGAAACUGGGGCUAAUAUCGGAUAGGAGCUCCCGCUGCAUGGUGGGGGUUGGAAAGUCUCGGCGGUCGGGGAUGGACUCGCGGCUUAUCAGCUUGUUGGUGGGGUAGUGGCUUACCAAGGCUUUGACGGGUAGCCGGCCUGAGAGGGUGACCGGCCACAUUGGGACUGAGAUACGGCCCAGACUCCUACGGGAGGCAGCAGUGGGGAAUAUUGCACAAUGGGCGGAAGCCUGAUGCAGCAACGCCGCGUGCGGGAUGACGGCCUUCGGGUUGUAAACCGCUUUCGCCUGUGACGAAGCGUGAGUGACGGUAAUGGGUAAAGAAGCACCGGCUAACUACGUG
rnacentral:rRNA from 1 species